AUUGAUAUUGAUGCAAUUUUUAUUUUAGCAUUUAAAAUAAUAUUAUAAAAGUAUCCAAAUUCAUAAGCCAAUGAUUCUAAGAUCAUAAAAUAUAACUAUAAAACAAUACGUCAAUACUUGUAGAAGAAUACACACACACACACAAAUACUAUAGACAUUUUGAGGACUAAAAUAAAUGUAUAAGCCAGUAUUUUCUAGGAAAGCUAAUGAUGGAGUUGGCUGAAAAGAUAGAACUUGUACCUCUAUGACCACUUUGAAUAAUGCAUGCAUAUUACAUUCAUGUGUCUUUCAAAGUUUCAAAAG